UACAGAGGGUGCAAGCGUUGUUCGGAAUUAUUGGGCGUAAAGCGCGUGUAGGCGGCUUUGCAAGUCGGGUGUGAAAUCCCUCAGCUUAACUGAGGAAGUGCGCCCGAAACUGCAGAGCUUGAGUGCCAGAGAGGGUGGCGGAAUUCCCCAAGUAGAGGUGAAAUUCGUAGAUAUGGGGAGGAACACCGGUGGCGAAGGCGGCCACCUGGCUGGUAACUGACGCUGAGACGCGAAAGCGUGGGGAGCAAACAGG
rnacentral:rRNA from 1 species